UUUCUAUGACUAAACCUUAAUCCAUCCAAAUCAAAACCUACUCUGAAGAAGCUACAUCCAUGCCCAUUCGCCUUCUAUUUCAACGACGUCUCUACAGUCUCGACCAGAACCAGCUAAGUUAGAGCUUCGAUUUCAGUUAGUCCAUUUCUGGGAGGCAAGAAACAUUGCUAAGGGUGAAACCUUAUUGGGUUAGAGCCCCUCAUUGAAAAAUCAACCAAUUACAUUUCUCAAAUCAGCCAUGUCAUUUAGGAUGAAGAUCCAGCCGGAGUCAACAUGCAACCAAUGCUCAAUCUGCCCUCAAGCGUCUAUUUCAUCAUCGGCUGUUUACUAAUGGGUUUAGUUGUUCAAUCUCCGAGAAACCAUUCCUCGAUGUGACGGAGUUCGAGCCAGUUUUUGUUUGUUUUGUGAAGAUGGUUCAGAACUUCGUAUAGGAGAACUCCCCGAUAGGGAAACCAAAUGUGGCUGCUACCGCUGCACGAUAGCUCCUCCGACAAUGAAUUAGAUAUGUUCGGUGGUUCAUCUCAAAUAUGAUUUUCGACAUUGAGUUAGAUUCCAUGCGCGAGGGUACGGAGAGGAACAUCUUAGCCGACGCGUCGAAGGUAGUAAAGAAGAACAAAUCAGUGAAAUGAAAAGACGAUAUGAUUCUUAAGUCUGCAAGUCGUGAUGGGAAAGUCUCCUUCUUUCCUAGCUGGUAAGUGACAAGUUCUUAGAGGGAUAUAUCCCACUCUCUCUGUGCAUGAUUGGCUUACUUUGGUUUAGAGACUCUAUCUCGGUUCCAUAGAAAUCCUAUUCAUGUAAGUUGUGCCGAUCAUGUGUGAAUUAAAAUCUCUGUCUGCUCCAUAAGUGUUUAAUAGGUUUGGAUCUUAAAUAAUUUGCAGUGUGUCCAAUAGCUUCCAGAACAUUCUUGAGUUGUCGUUUUUCUCAUUUGCAGGGAUCAAUUCCUUAUGUCAUGUUUUUGAACAUCACUGUGAACGAUGAGUUUUAAUUCGCUAGAAGUUAGUUUGACCUACUUCCAUUAACUUCUUAGCAAUCAUGAAUAUGUCAGUAUCCCCUGUUGUAGAUAUAGGCUGCCACUGGAGGUGGAAAUUUGGGAGUGACAUACACUUAAAUGUUAUCCUCUCAUUGGGUUAUAUAUAUAUGCAUAAUGUAACUAAUGAGUUUCCACCGGCUAAUUGGAUACAGGGUGCUAGCUCUCUGUUGCGUGCAUGAUGCAGAAGCCAAGCUGGUGCUGCUACGAAAAUUGAUUGAUCAUUCAGUACCUCACCUGGUUGGGAGUCAAAAAAUCUGCGAAGCUAAUAAAAAAUAAAUUAACAAGAGUGUGUAAUACCAAGCUAACAACUUAAUUUACACAGUCAGGACAUCAAUGUUUACAGUCGUAUUCGCGUACUCAUUAUUCUUUCUUUUAUAUUUCAUUUCUUUUAAAUAAUUAUAAAAAUUAAGAUAGAUCCAGACCAAUGUAUUUUUUUACUGGUAUUAGAUGACUCUACCUUUCCACCUUUCCGUUUGGUUGAGUGUUUUGUUCUAGGAACGAUGAUAUUCGUUCUGAAGUUUUAAUCAUCACUUAUUUACAGUUUA